GACGAACGCUGGCGGCGUGCUUAACACAUGCAAGUCGAACGGUAAGGCCCUUCGGGGUACACGAGUGGCGAACGGGUGAGUAACACGUGGGUGAUCUGCCCUGCACUUCGGGAUAAGCCUGGGAAACUGGGUCUAAUACCGGAUAGGACCACUGCCUGCAUGGGGGGUGGUGGAAAGCUUUUGCGGUGUGGGAUGGGCCCGCGGCCUAUCAGCUUGUUGGUGGGGUGAUGGCCUACCAAGGCGACGACGGGUAGCCGGCCUGAGAGGGUGACCGGCCACACUGGACUGAGAUACGGCCCAGAUUCCUACGGGAGGCAGCAGUGGGGAAUAUUGCACAAUGGGCGCAAGCCUGAUGCAGCGACGCCGCGUGAGGGAUGACGGCCUUCGGGUUGUAAACCUCUUUCAGCACCGACGAAGCGCAAGUGACGGUAGGUGCAGAAGAAGGACCGGCCAACUACGUGCCAGCCGCCGCCGUAA
rnacentral:rRNA from 1 species